UACGUAGGGGGCAAGCGUUGUCCGGAUUUAUUGGGCGUAAAGAGCGUGUAGCCGGCCAGGCAGGUCCGCUGUGAAAACUCGAGGCUCAACCUCGAGAGGUCGGUGGAAACCGUCUGGCUAGAGUCCGGAAGAGGAGAGUGGAAUUCCCGGUGUAGCGGUGAAAUGCGCAGAUAUCGGGAAGAACACCCGUGGCGAAGGCGGCUCUCUGGGACGGUACUGACGCUGAGACGCGAAAGCGUGGGGAGCAAACAGG
rnacentral:rRNA from 1 species